rnacentral:rRNA from 1 species
CUCAUGGUUUCACGGUAUUGCAAUGAGAACAAUUUAAAACCCUUAGCGAGAAUCAAGUGGAGGACAAGUCUGGUGCCAGCACCCGCGGUAAUUCCAGCUCCACUAGCGUAUAUUAAAGUUGUUGCAGUUAAAAAGCUCGUAGUUGAACCUCUGUCUGGGGCUAGUUUUGGCUUUGGUCAGGCUAGUUCUAGGCAUCCGCCUACAAGACUUAGAGGGCAUUCAGUUGUUCACUAGGAGGAGUAGGCAUUUUACUUUGAAAAAAUUAGAGUGUUUAAGGCAGGCAAUCGCCCGCAUAUAUUAGCAUGGAAUAAUAGAAUAGGACACUUUUCCAUUUCGUUGGUUAUUGGAAUCGUGUAAUGAUUAAUAGGGACAGUUGUGGGCAUUUGUAUUUAAUUGUCAGAGGUGAAAUUCUUGGAUUUAUUAAAGACAAACUAACGCGAAAGCAUUUGCCAAGGAUGUUUUCAUUAAUCAAGAACGAAAGUUAGGGGAUCAAAGACGAUCAGAUACCGUCCUAGUCUUAACUAUAAACUAUUCCGACUCAAUGUUUGACUGGCUUAUAUAACCAGUUGAGCGUUGUAUGAGAAAUCAAAGUCUUUAGGUUCUGGGGGGAGUAUGGUUGCAAAGCUGAAACUUAAAGGAAUUGACGGAAGAGCACAACCAGGAGUGGAUUCUGCGGCUUAAUUUGACUCAACACGGGGAAACUUACCAGGUUAAAACAAUAGUGGGAUUGACAGUUUGAGAGCGCUUUCUUGAUUGGUUGGGUGGUGGUGCAUGGCCGUUCUUAGUUGGUGGAGUGAUUUGUCUGCUUAAUUGCGUUAACGAACGAGACCUUAACCUGCUUACUAGACUGGCGAUCAUCAAUCGUUAGCUCUUCUUAGAGGGACUUUGGUUGUUUUAACUCCAAGGAAGUUUGAGGCAAUAACAGGUCUGUGAUGCCCUUAGAUAUCCUGGGCCGCACGCGUCAUACAAUGACUAGUUCAGAAAGUUUUCUCCUGACCCGAAAGGGGAUGGGUAAUCUUGAUAAUACUAGUCGUGUUAGGGAUCGAUCUUUGCAAUUAUAGAUCUUGAACGAGGAAUUCCUAGUAAGUGCGGUUCAUCAGACCGUACUGAUUACGUCCCUGCUCUUUGUACACACCGCCCGUCGCUUCUACCGAGUGGGUGGUCCGGUGAGAUAAU